rnacentral:rRNA from 1 species
AUGCUUGGAUCUUUAAAUGACACCAACGUUGUCAACCGGUCACCACUGAUGAAUAAGAUUGCAAAUGGUGAACUGCCACCAGUGCAGUUUGUAGCAAAUGGUCGUACAUACAACUAUGGCUACUAUCUUGCGGAUGACAUCUACCCAAAGUGGCAAACAUUUGUGAAGCCGUUGAGAAAACCGGAAGGUAAGAAAAUUUUUGAUUUCCACAAUGCUCAGGCGGCGGCUAGAAAAGAUGUGGAGAGAGCUUUUGGGAUUUUGCAAGCCCCCCAAUUUGCAAUUGUGAGAGGACCAGCUAGAUUUUGGGAUCAAAAGAUGCUUUGGUACAUCGUGCGCACUUGUGUGAUCAUGCACAACAUGACCAUCGAGAAUGAGCGUGGCCAAGAUGUAGACUACUUUCAUUAUGAGCUCUUGGGACAUCCCGUGCGAGUGCGGCGGAGGGCUGAAAGGGUGGCCCGUUUUGUUGCCUUCUAUCAAGUCAUUCGACGUCCCGCAGCGCAUGAUGAUCUUCAGAAGGAUCUCAUUGAGGAGUGA